AGCGGCGGACGGGUGAGUAACGCGUGGGUAACCUGCCUCAUACAGGGGGAUAACAGUUAGAAAUGACUGCUAAUACCGCAUAAGCGCACAGUGCCGCAUGGCACCGUGUGAAAAACUCCGGUGGUAUGAGAUGGACCCGCGUUGGAUUAGGCAGUUGGCGGGGUAACGGCCCACCAAACCGACGAUCCAUAGCCGGCCUGAGAGGGUGGACGGCCACACUGGGACUGAGACACGGCCCAAACUCCUACGGGAGGCAGCAGUGGGGAAUAUUGCACAAUGGGGGAAACCCUGAUGCAGCAACGCCACGUGUGGGAAGAAGCAUUUCGGUGUGUAAACCACUGUCGUGAGGGAAUAAGGCUAUUUUUCGGAGUAGUUGAAUGUACCUCGAGAGGAAGCACCGGCAAACUUCGUGCCAGCAGCCGCGGUAAUACGAGGGGUGCAAGCGUUGUUCGGAAUCACUGGGCGUAAAGGGAGCGCAGGCGGAAGCUCAAGCGGAUUGUACAAUACCGGGGCCCAACCCCGGACCUGCAGUCCGAACUGGGUUUCUUGGAUAGUUCAGGGGCAAGCGGAAUUCCUGGUGUAGCGGUGGAAUGCGUAGAGAUCAGGAAGAACACCGAUGGCGAAGGCAGCUUGCUGGGGACUUAUCGACGCUCAUGCUCGAAAGUGCGGGUAGCAAACAGGAUUAGAUACCCUGGUAGUCCGCACCGUAAACGAUGCAUACUGGGUGUCCGCGGUUCGCCGCGGGUACCGUAGCCAACGCGUUAAGUAUGCCGCCUGGGGAGUACGUACGCAAGUAUGAAACUCAAAGGAAUUGACGGGGGCCCGCACAAGCAGUGGAGUAUGUGGUUUAAUUCGAAGCAACGCGAAGAACCUUACCAGGUCUUGACAUCGAGUGCAUAACUAAGAGAUUAGUGAAAUUCCUUCGGGAACACUUAGACAGGUGGUGCAUGGUUGUCGUCAGCUCGUGUCGUGAGAUGUUGGGUUAAGUCCCGCAACGAGCGCAACCCUUACCUUUAGUUGCUACGCAAGAGCACUCUAGAGGGACUGCCGUUGACAAAACGGAGGAAGGUGGGGAUGACGUCAAAUCAUCAUGCCCCUUAUGACCUGGGCUACACACGUACUACAAUGGCAAUGAACAAAGAGAAGCAAGGCUGUGAAGCGGAGCGAAUCUCAAAAAAUUGUCUCAGUUCGGAUUGCAGGCUGCAACUCGCCUGCAUGAAGUCGGAAUUGCUAGUAAUCGCGGAUCAGAAUGCCGCGGUGAAUACGUUCUCGGGCCUUGCACUCACCGCCCGUCAAG
rnacentral:rRNA from 1 species